rnacentral:rRNA from 1 species
AACAAACGCUGGCGGCGUGCCUAAUACAUGCAAGUCGAACGGGGAAAGCUUUCGGGUGAGUACUAGUGGCGCACGGGUGAGUAACGCGUGGAUAAUCUGCCUUAGAGUGGGGGAUAACUAGUCGAAAGAUUAGCUAAUACCGCAUAAGACCACAAGAACUGCGGUUCAAGAGGUCAAAGGUUUUUCGCUCUAAGAUGAGUCCGCGUAAGAUUAGCUAGUUGGUGAGGUAACGGCUCACCAAGGCAACGAUCUUUAACUGGUCUGAGGGGAUGAUGAGUAAAACUGGAACUGAGACACGGUCCAGGCUCCUACGGGAGGCAGCAGUAGGGAAUAUUGCACAAUGGAGGAAACUCUGAUGCAGCGACGCCGCGUGAGUGAUGAAGGCCUUCGGGUCGUAAAGCUCUGUCGCAGGGGAAUAACACAAUGAAUGUACCCUGUAAGAAAGGAUCGGCUAACUUCGUGCCAGCCGCCGCCGUAACAC